GACGUAGGGGGCAAGCGUUGUCCGGAAUCAUUGGGCGUAAAGCGCGUGUAGGCGGUCCGGUAAGUCCGCUGUGAAAGUCGGGGGCUUAACCCUCGGAUGCCGGUGGAUACUGUCGGGCUUGAGUACGGAAGAGGCGAGUGGAAUUCCUGGUGUAGCGGUGAAAUGCGCAGAUAUCAGGAGGAACACCGGUGGCGAAAGCGGCUUCCUGGCCCGACACUGACGCUCAUGUACGAAAGCGUGGGGAGCAAACAGG
rnacentral:rRNA from 1 species